rnacentral:rRNA from 1 species
UACGUAGGGCGCAAGCGUUGUCCGGAAUUAUUGGGCGUAAAGAGUGCGUAGGCGGUUUUCUAAGUUUGGUGUGAAAUCUCCCGGCUUAACUGGGAGGGUGCGCCGAAAACUGGAAGGCUUGAGUAUGGGAGAGGUAAGCGGAAUUCCUGGUGUAGCGGUGAAAUGCGUAGAUAUCAGGAGGAACACCUGCGGUGUAGACGGCUUACUGGACCAUAACUGACGCUGAGGCACGAAAGCGUGGGUAGCAAACAGG